UUCCAUCAGAGAAGCACCUAGGGUGCAUCGAGAAACUCUCUAGUCUGAGGUGUCUUCGAUCCUGACAGCAGUGAGCUGUGGGGUGAACAGGAACAGGACCAUUUCCUCCCUGAGGUUUCUACAUCACUGGCCCGAAGCUCUAAGGGGUAACAUUUAAAUCUGGCUUUGCAUGGCUGUUUCUCCGGCAAUGUUAUGAAGUAAAGAAGAGCCGGGCGGUUCAAGUUUAAUUUUACGCUGAAUAGUUUGUGGGCUUUAAUAACACUAUUCAAGAGGCGGCUAAUUGAA